rnacentral:rRNA from 1 species
AGAGCCAAGCUUGCAUGCCUGCACGUCGACGAUUCGCCCGCCGCGCCCCGCGCCCGUCCCGCCGCCCCCGCCCGACGGGGAGCAGCAGGCGCGAAAACUUUGCAAUGUGCGAAAGCACGACAAGGUUAAUCCGAGUGUUUCCUGCUAAAGGAAUCUUUUAUCAGUCAUAACACCACUGAUGAAUAAGGGGUGGGCAAGUUCUGGUGUCGGCCGCCGCGGUAAAACCAGCACCUCAAGUGGUCAGGAGGAUUAUUGGGCCUAAAGCAUCCGUAGCCGGCUCUGUAAGUUUUCGGUUAAAUCUGUAUGCUCAACAUACAGGCCGCCGGGAAUACUGCAGGGCUAGGGAGUGGGAGAGGUAGACGGUACUCGGGAGGAAGUGGUAAAAUGCUUUGAUCUCUCGAUGACCACCUGUGGCGAAGGCGGUCUACCAGAACACGUCCGACGGUGAGGGAUGAAAGCUGGGGGAGCAAACCGGAUUAGAUACCCGGGUAACCCUAGCCGUAAACUAUGCAAACUCAGUGAUGCAUUGGCUUGUGGCCAAUGCAGUGUUGCAGGGAAGCCGUUAAGUUUGCCGCCUGGGAAGUACGUACGCAAGUAUGAAACUUAAAGGAAUUGGCGGGGGAGCACAAUCUCUANAGGAUCCCGGGUACCGAGCUCGAAUUCGUAAUCAUGG